AAUUGAAGUUCAAAGACUCUGUGAUUAUUCUCAGGAUGUAGUACUAGAUGAAUCAAUGGCUGCAGUAACUUGUGUUUGUUUUUGAUAGAUAAAAUGGUGGGGUAGGGUUAGGAUUCUACUUUAAAUGGUUGUGUGCAGUGCCCUAUUAGGAUUGAGGAUGAGAAAAGAUGAGAAAUUGGGGUGUCUCACUAGGGUGGAGCAAAGACCAUUUAUUCGGUUGAUAUAUCUAAGAAAGUUCAGUUUUUAAUUUAUUUGAUUGGGUUAUUUUCAUAAAAAAUUGAAUUGACUGAUUUGUUCAUAAAUUAUGAGCCUUCUCUCUCUAGCCAAUGACAGUCCACAAACAAAGCCUUACCAACUGAGCGCACUUCAGUUCCAUAUGAAAAUUUUAAAAACCUAACUAAUUGCUCCUUCCCUUCAAGCUUCAUUGCUUCAGCCAUUCCUAAUAUGCGUCAUCCAAUUAUUUAAUUAAGUUUUAAUAUAAAAAAGUCAUUAUAAUCUACAAUUGAAAAACAUAACAUUUGUCAUA
rnacentral:misc_RNA from 1 species